CCCACAUAUCCACUUAAAACCGGGUCAUUCCCUGUGCAUGCUUUGAUGAAUCUUGCUCCAAAGCUCUCAGAGAAAAGAAUGGAAAGAUUCCUUGAUCCAGAAUCACAGAUUGCUGCUGAAGAAUUCACAAAGAAGGAUGGUUUGGAUGCCUUGGGACGACCCUUUUUUCUUUUCAGGCCAAGGAAUGGAAGGACCGUGGAUAACAGAGAAUAGGUGAAUAGGCCAUUCAAAAG